AGAGUUGUAUCCUGGCUCAGAUUGAACGCUGGCGGCAUGCCUUACACAUGCAAGUCGAACGGCAGCACGGGAGCAAUCCUGGUGGCGAGUGGCGAACGGGUGAGUAAUAUAUCGGAACGUGCCCAGUCGUGGGGGAUAACGUAGCGAAAGCUACGCUAAUACCGCAUACGAUCUAUGGAUGAAAGCGGGGGAUCGCAAGACCUCGCGCGAUUGGAGCGGCCGAUAUCAGAUUAGGUAGUUGGUGAGGUAAAGGCUCACCAAGCCGACGAUCUGUAGCUGGUCUGAGAGGACGACCAGCCACACUGGGACUGAGACACGGCCCAGACUCCUACGGGAGGCAGCAGUGGGGAAUUUUGGACAAUGGGCGCAAGCCUGAUCCAGCAAUGCCGCGUGCAGGAUGAAGGCCUUCGGGUUGUAAACUGCUUUUGUACGGAACGAAACGGCGAGCUCUAAUACAGCUUGCUAAUGACGGUACCGUAAGAAUAAGCACCGGCUAACUACGUGCCAGCAGCCGCGGUAAUACGUAGGGUGCGAGCGUUAAUCGGAAUUACUGGGCGUAAAGCGUGCGCAGGCGGUGAUGUAAGACAGAUGUGAAAUCCCCGGGCUCAACCUGGGACCUGCAUUUGUGACUGCAUCGCUAGAGUACGGU
rnacentral:rRNA from 1 species